GACGAACGCUGGCGGCGUGCUUAACACAUGCAAGUUGAACGAAGAGCGGUGGAAGCCUUCCUCUCUCAAAGUUAGCGGAGAAUGGGUGCGUAACGCGUAAUCAACCUGCCCGUCAGCGGGGGACAACAGUUGGAAACGACUUCUAAUACCGCAUACGCUCUAAUCACGGCAUCGAGGACAGAUGAAAGGUGGCCUCUACAUGUAAGCUAUCACUGAAGGAGGGGAGUGCGUCUGAUUAGCUAGUUGGAGGGGUAACGGCCCAUCAAGGUGAUGAUCCGUAGCCGGUCUGAGAGGAUGAACGGCCACAUUGGGACUGAGACACGGCCCAGAAUCCUACGGGAAGCAGCAGGGGGGAAUCUUCCGCAAUGGACGAAAGUCUGACGGAGCAACGCCGCGUGAGUGAUGACGGCCUUCGGGUUGUAAAGCUCGGUUAAUCGGGACGAAAGGCCUUCUUGCGAAUAGUGAGAAGGAUUGACGGUACCGGAAUAGAAAGCCACGGCUAACUACGUG
rnacentral:rRNA from 1 species